AGACAGCGCUAUCGCGCUUCCUCAGCCCGAACGGCAUCGAAGUAACGACUGGAUCAACAACUUCUUAUCCUAAACUUACG
rnacentral:ncRNA from 1 species